GUUUUUGGAGUUCCGUCAACCCUUGGAUCCCAGCUUGCCAGGGAGAACCAGUCCCGGAAAAGGUCUUUUUACCGUGGCCACGGAGUUUUACCUGGAUCUCUCUCACCCGCUGGGAUCGUCAGAUUCACCUGAGGUGAAACCCUGCAAAACUGCUGAAACUUCAUCCAUUAAAGUCACUACCAGAAGGAAGAUGACUUAUGCAAGGAGACCGUAGAGCACUGCAAAAGUCACUGCUGUGAUGAAACUCUUUAAAA